CACACGACUCUCGGCAACGGAUAUCUCGGCUCUCGCAUCGAUGAAGAACGUAGCAAAAUGCGAUACCUGGUGUGAAUUGCAGAAUCCCGUGAACCAUCGAGUUUUUGAACGCAAGUUGCGCCCGAGGCCUUCUGGUCGAGGGCACGUCUGCCUGGGCGUCACGC
rnacentral:rRNA from 2 species